rnacentral:lncRNA from 1 species
CGGAGGGGUUGGUGCUAAAUGAAUCACUGGCAGCGAUGUUUGAUUUCCUUCCAAACGCUGCUGCCUCCAGGGAACCGGAGCAGCUGCAGGGCUGGAAAUCCCAACACUUGGCUGCUGUGUCGAACACGAAGCGCUGCGUCGACUGCUGCCUGCUCCAAAUCCUUCACCAGCACCUUUGUCUCUGUCCUGUGGAUCAGCAGACCAGCAGAUCAGCAGAUCAGCAGAUCAGCAGAUCAGCAGAUCAGCGCCCAGAAGAAAGCUCCUCUGAACGGCUGGGACUUGGUCGUCGCUGAAUACUUAUUGCCUGAAUGAGCCCAUUUACACGUCCUGUCCCCGUCAGUCAGCGCGGUCCAGUGUUGCUGCUGGUGAAUCUGCUUUGCUUUCCUUGCAGGGAUCCUUGCAGGGAUCCUUGCAGGGAUCCUUGCAGGGAUCCUUGCAGGGAUCUUCUAUUAACACUGGGCCUGUUUGCACAUGUUUAGCUCCCCAGGUGAGCAAACACAGGAUUCAUGAGCCUGAAGGAACCAGCUGCAUCAAGCAGCUCUCAGGUAUGAGGAGGAGGGGAACCAGCUGUGCCAGACCUCCAGCAGCCGUCGGUCCUGUUCUGGCCCAGAUGAGCAGCGCUGCCCCGCUGGUCCAUCAGCCGUGUAGUUUCAGGAGGUCGGUCUUCUGUCCAGCAGCCUCUCAUUGUGGCGGCUGGUUGUGUUUUUAUCGGGUUUUACUGUGUGUCGCUCUGCUGACUUCUGCUCGUGGCUCCUCCGAGUGCUCGGGUUUCCCACAUACCUUGAACGCACCAGCACCAGGCCUGGGCGUGUUUGUCUGCAGGCUGGUGAAACGAGCGGGAGCUUUAGUGCCAAUAAAGACUGAAGUGCGACUCGUGGGAGCAACUUCUCGCAGGAAGACGAGGGCGCGGAGAGAAAUGAUGCAGCAAUAAGGGAUUCAAACUGAGCCGCAGUGAAUGGAUUAGCUCCAGGAAAAACAUCCAAACUUUUUACUUUACUUUAAUGGAACAAUAGUCUUUUCUGCUGAUUAUACACUUUUGACUUCUCUGUUAUUAUUAUUGUCAUUAUUUGCAGCUUGGGUGGCGUUUUACAGGCGUCGACAUCAGCUCAUUUGCAACUCACCGGCUCCACAGCCUGACGGCAGCACCUCACUGCACAGAACGAGGCCAAGCUUUAGGUCUGUCCGUCCUCACAGCUCACAGCUGAAGACUUAUUCACUCAAUACAACGUUUCCAUUUAUGCUGCACGGUUUCUCUUCCAUCACUUAAGGAUAAGCAGCAUUCCACCAGUGACAGCAGCUCCAGAGUAAAAUACAGCGUCUGCGCCUCUGAUCAGAGAUCAGAGAUCCUCCCUGUUUAAUAUCCAUCAGCACU